GCGCGGGUGGCGGAACCGGUAGACGCAGGGGACUUAAAAUCCCCCGGAUUCAAUCCGUGCGGGUUCGAUUCCCGCCCCGCGCACCA
rnacentral:tRNA from 1 species